rnacentral:rRNA from 1 species
AGAACGAACGCUGGCGGCAUGCCUAACACAUGCAAGUCGAACGAAGGCUUCGGCCUUAGUGGCGCACGGGUGAGUAACGCGUGGGAAACUGCCCAUCAGUGGGGAAUAACAGCGGGAAACUGCUGCUAAUACCGCAUACGCCCUUCGGGGGAAAGAUUUAUCGCUGAUGGAUGUGCCCGCGUACGAUUAGGUAGUUGGUGGGGUAAAGGCCUACCAAGCCGACGAUCGUUAGCUGGUCUGAGAGGAUGAUCAGCCACACUGGGACUGAGACACGGCCCAGACUCCAACGGGAGGCAGCAGUGGGGAAUAUUGGACAAUGGGCGAAAGCCUGAUCCAGCAAUGCCGCGUGAAUGAUGAAGGCCUUAGGGUUGUAAAGUUCUUUCGGGUGGGACGAUGAUGACGGUACCACCAGAAGAAGCCCCGGCUAACUUCGUGCCAGCAGCCGCGGUAAUACGAAGGGGGCUAGCGUUGUUCGGAAUUACUGGGCGUAAAGCGCACGCAGGCGGCUCGUUAAAUUAGAAGUGAAAGCCCUGGGCUCAACCCGGGAAUUGCUUUUAAGACUGGCGAGCUUGAAUCCGGAAGAGGGUAGUGGAAUUCCCAGUGUAGAGGUGAAAUUCGUAGAUAUUGGGAAGAACACCAGUGGCGAAGGCGACUACCUGGUCCGGCAUUGACGCUCAUGUGCGAAAGCGUGGGGAGCAAACAGGAUUAGAUACCCUGGUAGUCCACGCCGUAAACGAUGAGUGCUAGUUGUUGGGGUGCAUGCACUUCAGUGACGCAGCUAACGCAUUAAGCACUCCGCCUGGGGAGUACGGCCGCAAGGUUA